GACAGAGGGUGCAAACGUUGCUCGGAAUCACUGGGCGUAAAGGGCGUGUAGGCGGGUAGUUAAGUCAGAUGUGAAAUCCCUGGGCUCAACCCAGGAACUGCAUUUGAAACUCACUUUCUUGAGUACCGGAGAGGAAGGUGGAAUACCUGGUGUAGAGGUGAAAUUCGUAGAUAUCAGGUGGAACACCAGUGGCGAAGGCGGCCUUCUGGACGGUAACUGACGCUGAGACGCGAAAGCGUGGGGAGCGAACAGG
rnacentral:rRNA from 1 species